AUGCAGUCGACGGCAGCACGGGGGCAACCCUGGUGGCGAGUGGCGAACGGGUGAGUAACAUAUCGGAACAUAUCCGGAAGUGGGGGAUAACGUACCGAAAGGUACGCUAAUACCGCAUAUGCCCUGAGGGGGAAAGGAGGGGAUCGCAAGACCUUUCGCUUUCGGAGUGGCCGAUAUCGGAUUAGCUAGUUGGUGAGGUAAAGGCUCACCAAGGCGACGAUCCGUAGCUGGUCUGAGAGGACGACCAGCCACACUGGAACUGAGACACGGUCCAGACUCCUACGGGAGGCAGCAGUGGGGAAUUUUGGACAAUGGGGGCAACCCUGAUCCAGCCAUGCCGCGUGAGUGAAGAAGGCCUUCGGGUUGUAAAGCUCUUUCAGACGGAAAGAAACGGUCACGGCCAACACCCGUGACUAAUGACGGUACCGUCAGAAGAAGCACCGGCUAACUACGUGCCAGCAGCCGCGGUAAUACGUAGGGUGCGAGCGUUAAUCGGAAUUACUGGGCGUAAAGCGUGCGCAGGCGGUUUUGUAAGACAGACGUGAAAUCCCCGGGCUUAACCUGGGAACUGCGUUUGUGACUGCAAGACUAGAGUGUAGCAGAGGGGGGUAGAAUUCCACGUGUAGCAGUGAAAUGCGUAGAUAUGUGGAGGAAUACCGAUGGCGAAGGCAGCCCCCUGGGCUAACACUGACGCUCAUGCACGAAAGCGUGGGGAGCAAACAGGAUUAGAUACCCUGGUAGUCCACGCCCUAAACGAUGUCAACUAGGUGUUGGGGAAGGAGACUUCUUUAGUACCGCAGCUAACGCGAUAAGUUGACCGCCUGGGGAGUACGGUCGCAAGAUUAAAACUCAAAGGAAUUGACGGGGACCCGCACAAGCGGUGGAUUAUGUGGAUUAAUUCGAUGCACGCGAAAAACCUUACCUACCCUUGACAUGUCAGGAAGAUACCAGAGAUGGGAUUGUGCCCGAAAGGGAACCUGAACACAGGUGCUGCAUGGCUGUCGUCAGCUCGUGUCGUGAGAUGUUGGGUUAAGUCCCGCAACGAGGGGCACCCUUGUCAUUAAUGCCAUCAUUCAGUGGGCACUUUAAUGAGAACUGCCGGUGAAUAACCCGGGGAAGGUGGGGAUGACGUUCAGUCUCUCAUGCCCUGAUGGUUAGGGCUUUCAGCAUGGUAAAUACAUGUGUCGAG
rnacentral:rRNA from 1 species